GGGGGGAUAGCUCAGUUGGGAAGAUCUGAGCUUGGUUCACCUUCGGUUUUAUCCGAAAGGUCGUAGGUUCGAAUCCCGCUCCCCUCU